rnacentral:rRNA from 1 species
UGGGGAAUAUUGGACAAUGGGGGGAACCCUGAUCCAGCCAUGCCGCGUGUGUGAAGAAGGCCUUAUGGUUGUAAAGCACUUUAAGCGAGGAGGAGGGUACUGGUAUUAAUACUACCAGGUACUGGACGUUACUCGCAGAAUAAGCACCGGCUAACUCUGUUCCAGCAGCCGCGGUAAUACAGAGGGUGCGAGCGUUAAUCGGAUUUACUGGGCGUAAAGCGUGCGUAGGCGGCUAAUUGAGUCGGAUGUGAAAUCCCCGAGCUUAACUUGGGAAUUGCAUUCGAUACUGGUUAGCUAGAGUGUGGGAGAGGAUGGUAGAAUUACAGGUGUAGCGGUGAAAUGCGUAGAGAUCAGGAGGAAUACCGAUGGCGAAGGCAGCCAUCUGGCCUAACACUGACGCUGAGGUACGAAAGCAUGGGGAGCAAACAGG